rnacentral:rRNA from 1 species
UACGUAGGGUGCGAGCGUUAACCGGAAUUACUGGGCGUAAAGCGUGCGCAGGCGGUAAGUUAAGUCUGAUGUGAAAGCCCCGGGCUCAACCUGGGAAUGGCAUUGGAAACUGGCUUGCUGGAGUGUGGCAGAGGGGGGUGGAAUUCCGCGUGUAGCAGUGAAAUGCGUAGAGAUGCGGAGGAACACCGAUGGCGAAGGCAGCCCCCUGGGCCAACACUGACGCUCAGGCACGAAAGCGUGGGGAGCAAACAGG